CAGAUGUUAGGGCGGAUCUAACGGAAUGUGAACGUCUAGAUUGGGCUAAAACCAUCUCGAUUCCGUGAAAGUCACUUAGUCAGCCCUAAAGGCAAGCCGGGGAAGAUGCAGGGUGCCUGUGUGGCCGGCCGAAUCGCUCCUUUUCCCCAUCAGAGCGGACUGAAUGAAGAGCCCCUGCGACUGGCGUUGAGAUAAAGCUGACCAAAUUUGGCAGGAGAAGCAGAAUUUGACAACUCACCACUUUUUUCCCCCCUCUCUCUCUCUCUCUCUUUCUCUCGUCAAACAAUUCGUCAUUUCCAGGAGCACCCCACACUUCCCGGGACUCGGCGACUUGCAAUGUUCAUCCUAUGACAAGCUGGAAAAAACAGACACCUCAGCCGUGGGCACCAGCCGAAAGUGAAGCGGAUUUCGGUGCAGGAACUUGGGGAGAAGACAGGGGGGUUAAAAAAACACACACACACGAAAGAGAUUAGAAUUAAAAGUCGGCACGGCGCGCAAGAAGUUAUGACGCAGGAUAUUUAAAUCUGCCCAGUUUUUCAGACAUUUGGAAUGCUUCCAGGGCUGGAGAGAACUGGCGAUUCCCGAUCUUACCAGCAAUAGUCAGAUCUGCCCUCAUCUUCUGCUCAACUCCUCUCAAGAAUUUGCUACCGUCUGCCUGACACCUUGAAAAGAAACGCGUCUGGGACAGAAAGAUGGCCCUGCUCUGCACUGGCUGUCACUAAAUACCCUUCUGCCAAGAAAAGCAAAAAAAAAGUGCAAUUGGUAUCCAAGAAACUGUUUGGCAUUUGCUGAUCCAUGUUCUCCAAAGCACUUGAACACAGUUCGAGUCCGGCCCCUUCUUCUGAUCUUCAUUUCCGUAAGGGGCGCGCAAUCGAGUUCCAAGCCAAUCGAUCCUUGUCUAAAUGGAGGUUCCUGAAAGCUGUCUACUAGGCAAGAGGUUCACCGGCGAGCAGCAGGAAGCUGGCGCGUCCCCCCGGCACAGCCCCGCAACAGUCCCCGGGGCGUGAGACUCCGCUGGCGGGCUCCCGCUCCGCUCCCGCAGGCACCGAGAGGCGUCAGGGCGGCGGGCAGCAGCUGCGCUCCCGGCUCGUAUGAGCCCUCAGCGGGGACACAGAGCCAGCCUCACUCAGCACCCAGCCGAGCAAAACCUCCCGAAGCCCCGACGCAGUUUGCAUGAGAACGCCGCCCGGCCGCCGCGCAGCCACCUUGGAAGGAGUUGGGGAUCUGUCGGGCUAACUCUGACCAGUAUGCCGAGAAGGAAGCAGCAAGCGCCCCGGCGCUCAGCAGCCUACAUUUCAGACGAAUUGAAGGCAGCAGUAUUAGAGGACGAAGAAACUGAAGCCAAUGAGUCUGGAGCUGACGGAGAAUCAUCCUCAAAGUAUACGUGCAAUGAACAGGAAUUUAGCAAGGAAUCGCCUAGCUACCAGGACUCUCCAGCUGCGGAGUUUUCUGGCCAGGAGAUGGACAGCACAUCUCAUGUUAGUGAAACCAGUGAUCGAUUGGCUGACUUUGAGAGCAACUCUAUAAAGAAUGAAGAUGAAAGCAAAGAAGUUGGUGGCCUUCCCGAGGAAGGAGUACAGGACAGUUUAGAACAAAUGAAAGCAAUAUACAACAACAUACUGUCAAAUUCCUACUGGUCAUCUCUGAGUUUGGGUUUGAACCAACCAAGUGAACCAGCAACAAAUGGCGGAAGCAGCAGCAGCAGCAGCAGUAGCAGCAGUAGCAGUUGUGGAAGUGGGAGCUUUGACUGGCAUCAGUCUGCCAUGUCAAAGACAUUGCAGCAAGUUUCUCAGACCAAGAUGAUUCAGGAGCCAAGCCUCUUCAGCACAGUACAAUUGUACAGGCAAAGCAGUAAGCUCUAUGGGUCCAUAUUUACUGGGGCAAGCAAAUUCCGCUGUAAAGACUGCAGUGCUGCUUAUGACUCCUUGGUAGAGCUGACUGUGCACAUGAAUGAAACUGGACACUAUCGAGAUGAGAAUAAUGAAACUGACAAUAACAAUCCUAAAAAGUGGUCCAAGCCUCGAAAGCGCUCUUUACUGGAGAUGGAGGGAAAGGAGGAUGCUCAAAAGGUGCUAAAGUGUAUGUACUGUGGCCAUUCAUUUGAGUCCCUUCAAGACUUGAGUGUCCACAUGAUUAAGACAAAACACUAUCAGAAAGUGCCUCUGAAGGAACCUGUAGCACCAAUCUCCACAAAGGUCCUCCCCUCCACCAGAAAAAGGGCAAUGCUUGAGCUUGAGCUACCAAGUUCUCCAGAUUCCACAGGUGGUACGCCAAAAACUUCUCUCUCUGACACAAGUGAUGCAUUACAGAAGUCCUCAAACCCUUACGUCACACCAAAUAAUCGCUACGGACACCAGAAUGGUGCCAGCUAUGCCUGGCAAUUUGAGGCGAGAAAGUCUCAAAUCCUCAAGUGUAUGGAGUGUGGGAGUUCACAUGACACACUGCAGGAACUGACUGCACAUAUGAUGGUCACCGGACAUUUUGUUAAAGUGACCAAUUCUGCAAUCAAGAAAGGGAAGCAGAUUGUUGAGGCACCCCAGACUCCAACACCAACACCCGUGUCAGCCAUCUUAGAAGAUAAAGUACAAUCUGUUCCCCUAGCUGCAAGUGCUUUCACGUCAUCAUUAAGUACACCAGCCAGUGUUUCACCAAAAUUAAAUCUUGAAGUGAAAAGGGAAGUAGAAAAAGAAAUUGAAAGUGAUGAGGACAAAAUGAAAGAAAAAGAUAAAAGCUGUGAUGAUGAUGAAAAAUAUGACAUUUCCUCAAAGUAUCAGUAUCUCACUGAAGAAGAUCUAGAAGAAAAUCCUAAAGGAGGCCUGGACAUCCUAAAAUCUCUAGAAAACACAGUGACCUCUGCCAUUAAUAAAGCUCAGAAUGGGACUCCAAGUUGGAGUGGCUAUCCUAGUAUUCAUGCAGCAUAUCAGCUUCCUAGCAUAAUGAAGUUGCCAUUUGGUUCAUCAGGGAAGAAUACACAAUUGAAGUCAGCACACAGCAACAUUGAUAGUAUGGCAUCUCCAAAGAAUCAACCACUUGUUUCGCCACCUAGUAGCCAGAAUUCCCCUGUACCUAAGAACAAUUUCCAUGCUAUGGAAGAGUUAGUGAAGAAGGUCACAGAGAAGGUAACCAAAACUGAAGAAAAAACUAAAGAUCCAGAAAAUAAGUUAUCCCGAUUGAAGCAUGAAGCACCUUCUCCAUGUGGUAGUGAAGCAGGAGAGGAACAAAAAAGUGAAGUUUCAAAAGACCCCGGUUUGAAAAGCCAUGACAAUAUUUCCAACCACCAGAAAGACACCAUGAAAGAGAACCCAGCCAAGGAUCAUUUGGAGAAUGGUACAGAGGCCUUAAAACUCACUGCAAAUAGUCUGUGCACUAGCACAGCUAUUAUUACAGACCACCCUCCUGAACAACCGUUUGUAAAUCCAUUAAGUGCAUUGCAAUCCGUUAUGAAUGUUCACCUAGGGAAAGCAGCUAAACCUGCAUUGCCUACCCUGGACCCAAUGAGCAUGCUUUACAAAAUGAGUAACAGCCUGGCAGAAAAGGCUGCUGUGGCCUCACCAAUUUUGCCAGCCAAAAAAACAGAGCCCAUAGACCGUUAUUUCUAUCAUGUCAGCAGUGACCAGCCCAUUGAUUUGACGAAAGCCAAGAGUGACAAAAGCGGUUCUUUGGGUUCAGUGCUUUUGUCAUCCAUAUCCCCCUCGUCAACAUCUUCUUCAUCCACUGUGACAACAGCAAAGACAUCUGCAGUCGUGUCAUUCAUGUCAAACUCGCCGCUACGCGAGAAUGCCUUGUCAGAUAUAUCCGAUAUGCUGAAAAACCUGACAGGAAGUCACACAUCAAAAUCUUCUACACCUACAAGCAUUUCAGACAAAUCCGAGGUGGACGGUAGCACUGUGGAGGAGCCAGAGGAAAUUUCUCCAGCUCAAAAACGUAAAGGCCGGCAGUCAAACUGGAACCCACAGCAUUUGCUCAUACUGCAGGCGCAGUUUGCAGCCAGUCUGCGACAAACCACUGAUGGGAAAUUCAUUAUGUCGGACCUCAGCCCGCAGGAGAGAAUGCACAUCUCGAGGUUUACAGGGCUCUCCAUGACAACAAUCAGCCACUGGUUAGCCAACGUCAAGUACCAGCUUCGAAGGACAGGUGGAACAAAAUUUCUUAAAAACUUGGACUCUGGUCAUCCAGUGUUUUUUUGUAAUGAUUGUGCAUCACAGAUCAGAACUCCUUCAACCUACAUCAGUCACUUAGAAUCACAUUUAGGCUUCAGGUUACGAGACUUAUCAAAACUUUCUAGUGAACAGAUAAGCAGCCAGAUAACACAUGCAAAACUGCCCUCCGAAAAAUCGGUGUUGCCAUCUCAAGACGAUGAGGCUGGGACAACGUUCCAGUGCAAACUUUGUAAUCGGACUUUUGCCAGUAAACAUGCAGUUAAACUGCAUCUCAGUAAAACUCACGGCAAAUCACCAGAGGACCACCUUCUCUAUGUUAUAGAGCUAGAGAAACAGUAGCAUUUACUUUAAUAGCCUAACUAUUUGCUUUGAGGACAAAUCUGAAAGAAGCCUUAAAGCUACUGUAACAACUCUUGGCACAUGUUCUUCAUUUACUGCAGAGUAGCACUCUGAUCUGAACUCUUUUAUAUAACUGUACAGUGUUUAAUGGAAGCACGUAAUCAGCUGUUGUUACUGGUUGAUUACAAGGGUAAAAAUGAAACACUGUACAUACUGGACAGCUUUCACAAUCAGCUUAACCCUUACAGUGCUAUUCACAGCAUUCGUUGGGACAGCGAUAUGGAACUCCUGCCUAUGCAGCAGGGGCAAGAAUUAAAUAUUCAAUCCCAUUUUGUAUUUGCUGGACUUUAAAUGGAUUUCUAAUUGUCAUCUGCUUUCCUUGUUUGAAUACAAUGGAUAUAUGUACUGUGCAUACCUGCUCUACAUGUUGGAAGGCGAAUACUGGUUAUUUUAUAUAUAUGAGAAUUUAAUUACACAAUUUCUAGGAUUCUGCUGAGCCAUGUUCUCAAACAUGUAAAACAGGCGCGGUAUCUGCAAUUAGCCUGAGUAUUAAAUUCAGAAAGUAGUUGCAAUUCAAAUUCCAUGUGAAGUCAACAUUGUCUUUUUAAUUUCCUUAAAAUUGUUUAUUUAAAUUUUGUUACAAUGUCAACAUCUUUUCUACUGAAAAAUAUUUUAUAUGUUAACAUAAUCGAUUAUUGUAUGAAAGCACUCUGGACCACUGCAACAAAAACAGUGUAUGAA